GACGAACGCUGGCGGCGUGCCUAAUACAUGCAAGUAGGCCGCAGUUGCGAACGGGUGAGUACCGCGUCGGUCACUGCCUGUUAGAGGGGGAUAACUAUUGGAGACGAUACCUAAUACCACAUAGUAGUAGCUGGCCCUGCGUUGUAUUAGCUAGUAGGUAGGGUAAUGGCCUACCUAGGCAACGAUACAUAGCCGACCUGGGAGGGGGAAUGGGCACAAUGGGACUGAGAAACGGCCCAGACCCCCACGGGAGGCAGCAGUAGGGAAUCUUCGGCAAUUGGGUGAAACCUGAACGAGCAACGGCGCGUGAGGGAAAAAAGUUUUCCGAUCGUAAAGAUCUGUUGUUAAGGAAGCGGUACUUAACCAGAAAGCCACGGCUAACUACGUGCCAGCAGCCGCGGUAAUUC
rnacentral:rRNA from 1 species